rnacentral:rRNA from 1 species
UGGGGAAUAUUGCGCAAUGGACGAAAGUCUGACGCAGCAACGCCGCGUGAGUGACGAAGGCCUUCGGGUCGUAAAGCUCUGUCGCCUGGGACGAACCCCUCGUUUAACAAACGAGACUGACGGUACCAGGAAAGGAAGCACCGGCUAACUCCGUGCCAGCAGCCGCGGUAAUACGGAGGGUGCAAACGUUGUUCGGAAUUAUUGGGCGUAAAGGGCGCGCAGGCGGUGGCGUAUGUCCGGUGUGAAAUCCCAUCUCUUAAAGAUGGAACUGCGCUGGAAACUACGUCGCUUGAGUCCCGGAGGGGAUAGCGGAAUUCCCGGUGUAGAGGUGAAAUUCGUAGAUAUCGGGAGGAACACCCGUGGCGAAGGCGGCUAUCUGGACGGUGACUGACGCUGAGGCGCGAAAGCGUGGGGAGCAAACAGGAUUAGAUACCCCCGUAGUCC